UACGUAGGGUGCGAGCGUUGUCCGGAAUUACUGGGCGUAAAGAGCUUGUAGGUGGUUUGUCGCGUUGUUCGUGAAAUCUCACGGCUCAACUGUGAGCGUGCGGGCGAUACGGGCAGGCUAGAGUACUGCAGGGGAGACUGGAAUUCCUGGUGUAGCGGUGGAAUGCGCAGAUAUCAGGAGGAACACCGGUGGCGAAGGCGGGUCUCUGGGCAGUAACUGACGCUGAGAAGCGAAAGCGUGGGGAGCGAACAGG
rnacentral:rRNA from 1 species